AAGAGCAUAGCUGGUGCUCCUGGCUGGCUGAAGGGAGUUGCAGCAUAAUAGGCAACUCAGUGCUAGUAAGGACUGGGGGAGUGAGGAAGAGCUCUUGACUGGCUGCUGGGCCUCACCUUAGAAGAGCCCUGAGCUAAGGAGCUGGACAAGCCCAUCAGAGUUAUCUACUCUGGAAACUUCUCCUUCCUGAAAAGGUGACGUGAAAGAGGGAGCAGAUUACUGAAGUCUGUGGCUGAGACGGUCAAUUUCAAGCUGAAAAGUAGAUUCCAACUGUCUGCGCCGUUAUCGCUCUCAUCUUGCCUAUUUCCCUGUUUUGGGGUCCUGGAAAAGCUUUUGAAGUGGGACUGAAAAGAAAGAUUCAGGAUAUCUGAACAAACGCCACUUGCACGGUCUCCAGAUGUGCUGAGGCUAUUGCCCUAGCCCAGGGGUCGGCAACCUGCGGCUCCCGG